rfam:Sphingomonas sp. Root710 contig_1, whole genome shotgun sequence.
CCAGAGGGCCGGGCGGUCGCCGCGCAUCGUUUAUGCGGUGCGGGGAGGAAAGUCCGGGCUCCAAGGAGUAACGGUGCCGGGUAACGCCCGGCGGGGGCGACCCCAGGGACAGUGCCACAGAAAGCAGACCGCCCGGCGGACCUUCCAGAUUUUUCUGGCGGUUCCGGGCAAGGCCGAAAGGGUGCGGUAAGAGCGCACCGCGGGCCCGGCAACGGGAACGGCAUGGUAAACCCCACCGGGAGCAAGAUCGAAUAGGGACGGCGCAUGGGCUACUCCGCCCGGUCGUCCGGGUUGAUUGCUGGAGGCCGGGCGCGAGUCCGGUCCUAGAGGAAUGAUCGCCCAUCCAGCGCAAGCUGGUGGACAGAACCCGGCUUACAGGCCCUCUGGCUUU